rnacentral:rRNA from 1 species
GGGUUGUGAGGUUAAGCGACUAAGCGUACACGGUGGAUGCCCUGGCAGUCAGAGGCGAUGAAGGACGUGCUAAUCUGCGAAAAGCGUCGGUAAGGUGAUAUGAACCGUUAUAACCGGCGAUGUCCGAAUGGGGAAACCCAGUGCAAUUCGUUGCACUAUCGUUAACUGAAUACAUAGGUUAACGAGGCGAACCGGGGGAACUGAAACAUCUAAGUACCCCGAGGAAAAGAAAUCAACCGAGAUUCCCCCAGUAGCGGCGAGCGAACGGGGAGCAGCCCAGAGUCUGAAUCAGCUUGUGUGUUAGUGGAACGGUCUGGAAAGUCCGACGGUACAGGGUGAUAGUCCCGUACACCAAAAUGCACAGGUUGUGAACUCGAAGAGUAGGGCGGGACACGUGGUAUCCUGUCUGAAUAUGGGGGACCAUCCUCCAAGGCUAAAUACUCCUGACUGACCGAUAGUGAACCAGUACCGUGAGGGAAAGGCGAAAAGAACCCCGGCGAGGGGAGUGAAAAGAACCUGAAACCGUGUACGUACAAGCAGUGGGAGCACCUUCGGGUGUGACUGCGUACCUUUGUAUAAUGGGUCAGCGACUUAUAUUCUGUAGCAAGGUUAACCGUAUAGGGGAGCCGCAGGGAAACCGAGUCUUAACUGGGCGUUAAGUUGCAGGGUAUAGACCCGAAACCCGGUGAUCUAGCCAUGGGCAGGUUGAAGGUUGGGUAACACUAACUGGAGGACCGAACCGACUAAUGUUGAAAAAUUAGCGGAUGACUUGUGGCUGGGGUGAAAGGCCAAUCAAACCGGGAGAUAGCUGGUUCUCCCGAAAGCUAUUUAGGUAGCGCCUCGUGAACUCAUCUUCGGGGUAGAGCACUGUUUCGGCUAGGGGUCAUCCCGACUUACCAACCCGAUGCAAACUACGAAUACCGAAGAAUGUUAUCACGGGAGACACACGGCGGGUGCUAACGUCCGUCGUGAAGAGGGAAACAACCCAGACCGCCAGCUAAGGUCCCAAAGUCAUGGUUAAGUGGGAAACGAUGUGGGAAGGCACAGACAGCCAGGAUGUUGGCUUAGAAGCAGCCAUCAUUUAAAGAAAGCGUAAUAGCUCACUGGUCGAGUCGGCCUGCGCGGAAGAUGUAACGGGGCUAAACCAUGCACCGAAGCUGCGGCAGCGACACUAUGUGUUGUUGGGUAGGGGAGCGUUCUGUAAGCCUGCGAAGGUGUGCUGUGAGGCAUGCUGGAGGUAUCAGAAGUGCGAAUGCUGACAUAAGUAACGAUAAAGCGGGUGAAAAGCCCGCUCGCCGGAAGACCAAGGGUUCCUGUCCAACGUUAAUCGGGGCAGGGUGAGUCGACCCCUAAGGCGAGGCCGAAAGGCGUAGUCGAUGGGAAACAGGUUAAUAUUCCUGUACUUGGUGUUACUGCGAAGGGGGGACGGAGAAGGCUAUGUUAGCCGGGCGACGGUUGUCCCGGUUUAAGCAUGUAGGCUGAUUGUCCAGGCAAAUCCGGAUAAUCAAGGCUGAGGUGUGAUGACGAGGCACUACGGUGCUGAAGUAACAAAUGCCCUGCUUCCGUGAAAAGCCUCUAAGCAUCAGGUAACAUCAAAUCGUACCCCAAACCGACACAGGUGGUCAGGUAGAGAAUACCAAGGCGCUUGAGAGAACUCGGGUGAAGGAACUAGGCAAAAUGGUGCCGUAACUUCGGGAGAAGGCACGCUGGUGUGUAGGUGAAGUCCCUGCGGAUGGAGCUGAGACCAGUCGAAGAUACCAGCUGGCUGCAACUGUUUAUUAAAAACACAGCACUGUGCAAACACGAAAGUGGACGUAUACGGUGUGACGCCUGCCCGGUGCCGGAAGGUUAAUUGAUGGGGUUAUCCGUAAGGAGAAGCUCUUGAUCGAAGCCCCGGUAAACGGCGGCCGUAACUAUAACGGUCCUAAGGUAGCGAAAUUCCUUGUCGGGUAAGUUCCGACCUGCACGAAUGGCGUAAUGAUGGCCAGGCUGUCUCCACCCGAGACUCAGUGAAAUUGAACUCGCUGUGAAGAUGCAGUGUACCCGCGGCAAGACGGAAAGACCCCGUGAACCUUUACUAUAGCUUGACACUGAACAUUGAGCCUUGAUGUGUAGGAUAGGUGGGAGGCUUUGAAGCGUGGACGCCAGUCUGCGUGGAGCCAACCUUGAAAUACCACCCUUUAAUGUUUGAUGUUCUAACGUUGGCCCCUGACCGGGGUUGCGGACAGUGUCUGGUGGGUAGUUUGACUGGGGCGGUCUCCUCCCAAAGCGUAACGGAGGAGCACGAAGGUUAGCUAAUCUGGUCGGACAUCAGGAGGUUAGUGCAAUGGCAUAAGCUAGCUUGACUGCGAGCGUGACGGCGCGAGCAGGUGCGAAAGCAGGUCAUAGUGAUCCGGUGGUUCUGAAUGGAAGGGCCAUCGCUCAACGGAUAAAAGGUCCGGGGAUAACAGGCUGAUACCGCCCAAGAGUUCAUAUCGACGGCGGUGUUUGGCACCUCGAUGUCGGCUCAUCACAUCCUGGGGCUGAAGUAGGUCCCAAGGGUAUGGCUGUUCGCCAUUUAAAGUGGUACGCGAGCUGGGUUUAGAACGUCGUGAGACAGUUCGGUCCCUAUCUGCCGUGGGCGCUGGAGAAUUGAGGGGCUGCUCCUAGUACGAGAGGACCGGAGUGGACGCAUCACUGGUGUUCGGGUUGUCAUGCCAAUGGCACUGCCCGGUAGCUAAAUGCGGAAGAGAUAAGUGCUGAAAGCAUCUAAGCACGAAACUUGCCCCGAGAUGAGUUCUCCCUGAGACUUUAAGUCUCCUGAAGGAACGUUGAAGACGACGACGUUGAUAGGCCGGGUGUGUAAGCGCAGCGAUGCGUUGAGCUAACCGGUACUAAUGAACCGUGAGGCUUAACCUUACAACGCCGAAG